UGGGGAAUAUUGCGCAAUGGGGGAAACCCUGACGCAGCGACGCCGCGUGAGCGAAGAAGGCCUUCGGGUUGUAAAGCUCUGUUGUAAGGGACGAAUGUCGUGAGGAAUAAUACGCCUCACGAAUGACGGUACCUUACCAGCAAGCCCCGGCUAACUACGUGCCAGCAGCCGCGGUAAGACGUAGGGGGCGAGCGUUGUCCGGAAUUACUGGGCGUAAAGAGCACGUAGGCGGGACCUUAAGUCAGGUGUGAAAGACCGCAGCUCAACUGCGGGGUUGCACUUGAAACUGGGGUUCUUGAGGGCAGGAGAGGUCAGUAGAAUUCCUGGUGUAGCGGUGAAAUGCGUAGAAAUCAGGAGGAAUACCAGUGGCGAAGGCGACUGACUGGACUGACCCUGACGCUGAGGUGCGAAAGCGUGGGUAGCAAACAGGAUUAGAUACCCUGGUAGUCCACGCCGUAAACGAUGGAUACUAGGUGUGGGAGGUAUCGACCCCUUCCGUGCCGCAGCUAACGCAAUAAGUAUCCCGCCUGGGGAGUACGGCCGCAAGGCUG
rnacentral:rRNA from 1 species